rnacentral:lncRNA from 1 species
AAUGAUUGAUCAUCUUUUGCAACCUUGGCUAUUAGAACAUAUUUUGCACAGCUUUCAAAGUACUUUGCAUAGCUUCAUGAUAUGUUUGAUGGAUCGUAGGAAGAGAUUUAUUAUGCUUUGGAAGUUAUGUAAAAUGCAAUCCAAUAGUUGAGGUCGUGAAAGAAAAUGAAUCAUUCUGUUGUGCGAAAGAUACAAUGCAAAUCCUGUUCAUAAAUCGUGAUGUUCAAAACUUUGGUUGCUUGGAUAUUUUAGCCCAUAGGAAAAUAAGAGCUAGUAGGACAAC